GCGGCGUGCUUACACAUGCAAGUCGAACGAUGAAGCCCUUCGGGGUGGAUUAGUGGCGAACGGGUGAGUAACACGUGGGCAAUCUGCCCUGCACUCUGGGACAAGCCCUGGAAACGGGGUCUAAUACCGGAUGACACUUUCUCUCGCAUGGGAGAAGGUUGAAAGCUCCGGCGGUGCAGGAUGAGCCCGCGGCCUAUCAGCUAGUUGGUGAGGUAGAAGCUCACCAAGGCGACGACGGGUAGCCGGCCUGAGAGGGCGACCGGCCACACUGGGACUGAGACACGGCCCAGACUCCUACGGGAGGCAGCAGUGGGGAAUAUUGCACAAUGGGCGAAAGCCUGAUGCAGCGACGCCGCGUGAGGGAUGACGGCCUUCGGGUUGUAAACCUCUUUCAGCAGGGAAGAAGCGCAAGUGACGGUACCUGCAGAAGAAGCGCCGGCUAACUACGUGCCAGCAGCCGCGGUAAUACGUAGGGCGCAAGCGUUGUCCGGAAUUAUUGGGCGUAAAGAGCUCGUAGGCGGCUUGUCACGUCGGUUGUGAAAGCCCGGGGCUUAACCCCGGGUCUGCAGUCGAUACGGGCAGGCUAGAGUGUGGUAGGGGAGAUCGGAAUUCCUGGUGUAGCGGUGAAAUGCGCAGAUAUCAGGAGGAACACCGGUGGCGAAGGCGGAUCUCUGGGCCAUUACUGACGCUGAGGAGCGAAAGCGUGGGGAGCGAACAGGAUUAGAUACCCUGGUAGUCCACGCCGUAAACGGUGGGAACUAGGUGUUGGCGACAUUCCACGUCGUCGGUG
rnacentral:rRNA from 1 species